CCUCGCAGGCCUGGACCGGGACCAAGACCGGGACCGGGAGGACCGCAAGCUCGCCCUGGCGCGGGCGCUGGCGGCGCUGGCCGGCGUGGUCCUGGGCUCCGCGGUGCUGGCCGCCGUCUGCAGAAGCCGCAGUAGAAGGGAAAAGUCUGUCCCCAGCCUGCAGUUCCUCGCCCGGCCACGAGAGGGCGCUGUGGAGCAGCACAACUAGGCAGCCAUCCCCCGGCCUCAGCCUCGCUGCAGAUCCUCGCUGCAGCGCUGGCUCCUCCCACCCAUCCCACAGGUGAAGGACGAGUUGAAGGAUACAUUUGUGUGGGAGCAGGUCACCGGGAAAGAAACCAUGCCUGCGGCAGAUUAUCCAGAGCCGAAGGACAUCCUCUUGGUGGAAGACAUCCAGUGAUGUGCCCCGGUGCCCUCCUGCAGCCCGCGCUUCCUCGCCUGCCCGCCCGGGCCGUGUGUGCAGGGCAACUCGGUCAGGGUCCUAACGUCACUCCCGGGAGGCUGAGGCAGGAGGGUCCCAAGCCGGAACCAGGCCUGGAAGCUCAGGGCUCAGGGAGGCCCUGUCUCAGGCUGAAGAACAAAGAAGGGCUGGGGACGGGCUCUGUGCAGAGGCCCCGGGUUCAGCCCCAGUACUGAAAAUAAACAUAAGGGAAGGGUGGGAGGAAGCGGAAUGCGCACGGAAAUCGCCCCAGUUGUGUGUCCUUCAGU